GGGAAUAACCUCGGGAAACUGAGUAUAAUGCCCGAUAGAACAUUAUGCCUGGAAUGGGUUUAUGUUCCAAAUGAUUUAUCGCCGUAGGAUGGGACUGCGGCCUAUCAGUUUGUUGGUGAGGUAAUGGCCCACCAAGACUAUUACAGGUACGGGCUCUGAGAGGAGUGGCCCGGAGAUGGGUACUGAGACACGGACCCAGGCCCUAUGGGGCGCAGCAGGCGAGAAAACUUUGCAAUGUGCGAAAGCACGACAAGGUUAAUCCGAGUGGUUUCUGCUAAAGGAACCUUUUGUUAGUCCUAGAAACACUAACGAAUAAGGGGUGGGCAAGUUCUGGUGUCAGCCGCCGCGGUAAAACCAGCACCUCAAGUGGUCAGGAUGAUUAUUGGGCCUAAAGCAUCCGUAGCCUGCUCUGUAAGUUUUCGGUUAAAUCUGUACGCUCAACGUACAGGCUGCCGGGAAUACUGCAGAGCUAGGGAGUGGGAGAGGUAGACGGUACUCGGGAGGAAGUGGUAAAAUGCUUUGAUCUCUCGAUGACCACCUGUGGCGAAGGCGGUCUACCAGAACACGUCUGACGGUGAGGGAUGAAAGCUGGGGGAGCAAACCGGAUUAGAUACCCGGGUAGUCCCAGCUGUAAACUAUGCAAACUCAGUGAUGCAUUGGCUUGUGGCCAAUGCAGUGUUGCAGGGAAGCCGUUAAGUUUGCCGCCUGGGAAGUACGUACGCAAGUAUGAAACUUAAAGGAAUUGGCGGGGGAGCACCACAAGGGGUGAAGCCUGCGGUUCAAUUGGAGUCAACGCCGGG
rnacentral:rRNA from 1 species